rnacentral:ncRNA from 2 species
CUCUUAUCCCGAGCUGGUGGAGGGACAGGCCCAAUGAAACCCAGCAACCUGCAAACGAAGAACUUGGAUCCACUUGGACCAUUUUCCGAGCAAAGGUGCUAAACCUGAUGCAAGGCUUGACCUUGAACGAUAAGAG